rnacentral:rRNA from 1 species
UACGUAGGGUGCGAGCGUUGUCCGGAAUUAUUGGGCGUAAAGAGCUUGUAGGCGGUUUGUCGCGUCUGCUGUGAAAAUCCGGGGCUCAACCCCGGACUUGCAGUGGGUACGGGCAGACUAGAGUGUGGUAGGGGAGACUGGAAUUCCUGGUGUAGCGGUGAAAUGCGCAGAUAUCAGGAGGAACACCGGUGGCGAAGGCAGGUCUCUGGGCCGUAACUGACGCUGAGGAGCGAAAGCGUGGGGAGCGAACAGG